rfam:Macrostomum lignano uti_cns_0008897, whole genome shotgun sequence.
GUGGUUGUAGCUUAGUGGAUAGAGCGUCGGACUCGCGACUUGAAGGUCGGAGGUUCGAUUCCCAAUCCCA